rnacentral:rRNA from 1 species
UACGAAGGGUGCAAACGUUGCUCGGAAUUAUUGGGCGUAAAGCGCACGUAGGCGGCAUAGCAAGUCGGAUGUGAAAUCCCUCGGCUCAACCAAGGAAGUGCAUCCGAAACUGCUGUGCUUGAGUACGAAAGUGGAUCGCGGAAUUCCCGGUGUAGAGGUGAAAUUCGUAGAUAUCGGGAGGAACACCAGUGGCGAAGGCGGCGAUCUGGGUCGAUACUGACGCUGAGGUGCGAAAGCGUGGGGAGCGAACAGG